rnacentral:lncRNA from 1 species
CGGGGAGGUCGGGGAGCGCUCGGGGGCCAUUCCUGGCCCCGAGCCGAGCGCUGACGGCAGCGUCUCUUCCCCAGGGAAGGCGCAGCAGGCCCUGCAGCAGCGCUACAGGAUCGACUCGCUGCUGGACCGCGGUGGCUUUGGCAGAGUUUUCGCGGCCACGAGGCUCUCAGACGAACUCCCGGUGAGCGGUGGGGCAGGUGGUGGGCCGAGGAGGAGGAGAGGGCAGAAGAGGAGGAGGGAGCAGAGGAGUAGGAUGGGGCUGGAUGUGGUGGGCGGCGAGCUGAAUCCGCUGUUCCUUUUGGCUUGCAGGUGGCCAUCAAAAAGGUGCCACGGAACCACAUCCGGCACUGGGGCGAGCUGGUGAGUGAGCGGGGCCAGCGGCAGAAGCUGGGGAGUGCCAGGCGGGGAUGAGCUGGGGCCUGGAAGGGUGGGAGCCGCUAGGACACAUGGAGGGAGAGCGGGCAUGGGGCCAGUGGAGGGUGCAGAGCAUCCCGGGCUGGCUGAGAGCUUCCCGAGCCCUGGCACGGCCUCAGCCCCACUGACGGCACCGUGCUCCUCCCGCAGCCCGACGGCACCAGCGCACCUCUGGAGAUCGUGCUGCUGGACAAGGUGUCCACAGGCUUCCCCAAUGUGGUGCAGCUGCUGGAGUGGUUUGAGCUCCCCAACGCCAUCAUGAUGGUGCUGGAGCGCCCGGAGCGGUGUCAGGACCUGCAACAUUUCAUUCAUUCACGGAGGUUCCUCUCUGAGGCAUCUAAAAUCCCUGCAGUCUCUGCCCCUGAGGCCAGACCACAAUCCGUGACCAGGAGCCUCCUGUCCUUGUGGAAGGAGCCCUCAAGACCCAAGUGCAGGACUCGCUGUCUUGCAGUCUUGCCAGGACUUGAGUCUUGCAGGUGCCUUCCAGGCACGACUGCAGGACUUGCUGACUCCGAGCUUUUCCGAGCCAUCUCUCCUGCAAGUAGCCAGAAAUCCAGUCACUGCCAUGGAGCAGCGACCCCCAAGAGUGCCCAAGUUGGCCUGGCUUGCGGAGGAGGAAGAAGGCGGCCGUGGAGCUGUCCUGGCACAGGAGUCUGAAGAGGUGCAGGAGUUCCAGGCACCACAGGAGGGUGAGUUGCAGAGCUCGGCCUUAGGGCUAGUGCCUGUUGCCAGCUUGGCCCCAUCCCAUUCCAUGCCAUGCCAUCCCCUGGUGCUGUUCCUAUGGAAAGGAUUGGAGAGUCUGGAAGAAGAUUUGGAGCAGCGACCCCCAAGAGUGCCCAAGCUGACCUGGGUGGAUGAGGAGGAGGAAGAAGAGGAAGAAGGCCCUGGAGCUGCCCCAGCACCAGAGACCGAAGAGGUGCAGCAGUUGCAGCCGCUGGAGGAGGAUGCAGCCAUGGACGGCACACAAGAGCAGGACACCGCCCGUGGCCGCUUCCGCAGAGCAGCGCAGGUACCUGCAGCCAUCCCCACCUGCGCUGGGCCU